rnacentral:lncRNA from 1 species
UGUUCCAAUAAGGAUCAUUAAUUGAAAAUCAACCAUCCAAAAUCUUCAUCAUAGUUAGGGCUGGAACUGGACUAGGUGGGCAGGGCCUUACCCCUACUCGAGCUAGCCCAGUCCAAAAAUUCUUUUCGAACUUCCGGUUGAGCUUAGGCCUGAUGAUUUUAGGAAAAAUCAGGCUCAGAUCGAACCCUAGCCCAGGCCCGAGCCUAGCCCGAACCUAUUUGGGUUGGCCCGAACCUAUUUGGUUGGGCCCAAACCAUGAGGUGGCUGCAAAUUCAGGC